rnacentral:rRNA from 1 species
ACGGUAGAGGGGGCAACCCCUUGAGAGUGGCGAACGGGUGAGUAAUGUAUCGGAACGUGCCCAGUCGUGGGGGAUAACGUAGUGAAAAUUACGCUAAUACCGCAUACGAUCUAUGGAUGAAAGCGGGGGAUCGCAAGACCUCGCGCGAUUGGAGCGGCCGAUAUCAGAUUAGGUAGUUGGUGGGGUAAAGGCUCACCAAGCCAACGAUCUGUAGCUGGUCUGAGAGGACGACCAGCCACACUGGAACUGAGACACGGUCCAGACUCCUACGGGAGGCAGCAGUGGGGAAUUUUGGACAAUGGACGCAAGUCUGAUCCAGCCAUUCCGCGUGCAGGACGAAGGCCUUCGGGUUGUAAACUGCUUUUGUACGGAACGAAAAAGCUCUUAUCAAUACUAGGAGUCCAUGACGGUACCGUAAGAAUAAGCACCGGCUAACUACGUGCCAGCAGCCGCGGUAAUACGUAGGGUGCAAGCGUUAAUCGGAAUUACUGGGCGUAAAGCGUGCGCAGGCGGUUAUAUAAGACAGAUGUGAAAUCCCCGAGCUUAACUUGGGAACUGCAUUUGUGACUGUAUAGCUAGAGUACGGCAGAGGGGGAUGGAAUUCCGCGUGUAGCAGUGAAAUGCGUAGAUAUGCGGAGGAACCCCGAUGGCGAAGGCAAUCCCCUGGGCCUGUACUGACGCUCAUGCACGAAAGCGUGGGGAGCAAACAGGAUUAGAUACCCUGGUAGUCCACGCCCUAAACGAUGUCAACUGGUUGUUGGGUCUCCCUGACUCAGUAACGAAACUAACGCGUGAAGUUGACCGCCUGGGGAGUACGGCCGCCAGGUGAAACUCAAGGAAUUGACGGGGACCCCCACCACCGUUGAAUGAGGUGGUUUAAUUCGAUGCAAC